UAUAGUUCCUGCCCCUCCUGUGGUUUGUGAUCUGUGCUUCUGGGAGAUUUACAUUGAAUAAAUAAUUAGAAAUGUGAUGAGUGUUUUGAAAUGUAAAGUGCUAUGAAAGCCUAUAAAAGGGGCAUUUAAUUUAAUCUGGUGGGAAGUGAUUUUGAGCCAAGUUUAAAAGAUGAAGGCUGAGAAGGAUUUAAUAUGCUCACAGUACUAAGUGUUUCACUUUAUGCAUUUAUUCCCAAAGUUGGGAGUUUUCUCUCAAUUUUAGGUCUUUAUUACGUUUGUAUUUUAUACACAGUUUUAUAACAAGCACAGGAAUAAAGAGGUUUAUCAGGUUUUUUUUUGGUUUUUUUUUGGAAUUGGGGUCUUGUUCUGUCACCCAGGCUGGAGUGCAGUGGCGUGAUCAUAGCUCACUGUCAACUUUGAACACUUGGGCUCAAGCUAUCCUCCCUCAGCCUCCCAAGGUGGGAGGUACAGAUCUGGGCAUAGGAACCAAUCAGAAACAAUCGCUUCAGCAAUCAAGACCAUUGUUCAUCAUGGAGGAACCCAUGGAUACCUCUGAGCCUCUAUCUGCAUUACCAUUCACUGGGCAGCAGUCUUUUGAGCCAAGUGGCAAAUUUGGACAGUGUCCAUCCGAUGCAGAUGAACCACAUCCAGGCACUGGGGAGGUGGAGGACAUAGAACAGCUCAAUCAGUGUUUGAUCCAACACUUCCAUCUCAUUAAGACAAGUUUGAUUUUUCUUUGCUUUUUAUUUCAUGGAAUACAUGAGAAUCUCUUAACUGUUGGAGUUUCCAAGGAGGCAUACCUCGUGACUUCAGUUAAUGGAAAGAACAAAACUAAAAUGCUGUAUGGCCAAAGCCACAAAGGGAAGGAUCUGCAAUUUACAUUCUUGGAGCUAUCAUCUGUACUGUACUGUUGUGAUCUGCUGAUUGGCAUUGGCAUAGUAGUAGGGGUCAAGUGACAGAAUCCGUGCCAGCAGUCUCCAGGUUCAGAAGCAAUUCAAGACCCUGAUGAUAGCUCUCCAGCAACCAACACAUGGUGAUUGUGCCAACUUGUUGCUCAGUUAUAAUGCAGGGCCAGUGAUUGGUUUAAGUGAAGACCAUGGUUGAGAUCAUUUGUCUUUGGUCUAAUAGAAUUUGAGUCUAGUAGAAUUUGAGUCUCCAGGGAAAGAGCUACUUGACCAAAUUAAACUAGUAGCAGGUAGAGCAUGAAUGACAGCAUAUUAUACCAUCAAGAUGUUCUUAGAGCAGUGUAUGGAUGGAUCGAUUGUACUGCCAUCAGUUGUGACUGACGUUGUAUUCAAGGAGAAAGAGAAACUUGUUUAGAAAGCACUUUGAAAGUUUUUUGAGUACGGGGGUGCCCUGUAUCACCCCGUUAUGGUUGAACUUUCUCCUUCAAAAUUACCAGACUUGGCAGCAGUGGCAAAUUAUUGGGCUAAAAGACUUAAUCAGACAUAUUCUGGGUUCAGGGCUCCUAAUAUAAUACCUGGUGCAAACAUUAUACUUCCACUCAUUCAGAUGGUUGCAUCCUGCCAGGCAUCCAGUGGGACUGGGAAUAUGGACACUUGAACAUUAAACAUCCUGAAGAAUUUUGGAAUGACAGGUUACAAGUGAACAUAAUCAGUUCUCUAUAUUAAAAAAAAAAAAGAUUUGGGCAUAGAUUGGGCUCACAUAAUCUUUAGAGAGAUUUUUUCAUUUUUGUGAAAGUACAGAAAUUCUUAACUGCUUAUGAAAUGCUGAUUGUUAAACAGCAUCCACAGCUAUUUUGUGUUGUUUCCCUGACCCCACCCUGAAGAAAAGAAAAAUUAUGGCAUAUUGAAAACAGCAGUAUGAUGUAAGAGAAAAUAUCACAAAUUCCUUGAGGGUGGGUCUUUUCCAUACUCAUAAGCCUAUUUAUAAUAUUCAGAGUAAUUUAUUGACACAUAUUAAUAUUCCCUCCUAUCCCAUUAAUUGCCAAAUCAUCAAACAUUUAUUGAGCAUCUACUCUGUGUAGGGUGUAAGCAGUACUGGGGACUUACAGUGAUAAAAGACAUAGUUUUAGCCUUAAGUGAUGUACUGUUUCACUGAAGAGAUGGAAUAUAAGAAGCCAAGUAAUUUAUGGAAUUCUCUUCUUUGUUUUUCUUUUUUUUUUUUUUUGGCAGUGGAGUCUUGCUCUUUAAAUAGAGCAAGGCUAGUCUGGAACUCCUGGGCUCAUGUGGUCCUCCCGCCUUAGCUUUCAGUGUAGCUGCGACUACAGGUGUGAACACAGCUUGGAAAUUUCUUAACCAUGGGAGUUAAGUCUCAAAAUUCUGGUGAUACAAGUGGUUGAAACUUAAAACUGUAUUUAAAAAAUAGGAUUCGUGAAUUUGAGAUAGUUCAUAAGUCUGCAAAAGACUGUAUAAAUACAUAUUUUACAUUUACUAUUAUUAAUUUUGUAGUAAAUUUGAGUACAGCACUAUCUCUUUAUCUGUGGAAACUUCAGACUCUCCCCUAUUACUUUAAUUUCAGUGAGACAUUAUUAAAUAUAAGUGGGCUUACACAUUUGUUUUGCUUUACUGACAAAUAAUACACAACUUGGAGGCUUUUUUUUCCUUUCUAUUCUUCCUCUAAAUGUUCAACACUUUUCUGAUUUUGUGAUUUGAGGUUGUUUAAUAGCUUCCUGAGGCUCCAUUGAGACCGUAUAUACGUGACACUUAACAGUCUAGCCUUCCUCGGUACAUAUAGAUAUAUGAUGGUGGCUUUGCCUGUAGUAAAUUCAUGCCAAAACAUAGGCUUUCAGUGCCUAUUACAUAUGGCUUUCAGCUCUCUCUACUGAGGGAUGUAGGAGUUUAUUUCUGAGGUCUGAGCCUCUUUUCCUUUACUUCCUUUACUCUUUCCUAAGCCUUCUUUAUAAAAACUAUGCAUGUUCUAUUGUUUUCCUUUUUGAUUCCCUUUCUUUUAUUAUCCCCAGUAGGAGUGACUUGUAAUUCUCAUAUGUUAGAAAGGCAGAUCUCCUGGUUGAAGAAAAGAUCCACCCAAGCAAGUCAGCAUGUUUAAUAAUUUUUGAGGGGGAUCUCAAAUGUGGGAAGGAUUGUUAUAUAAGACAACCAAAUGAUGACAUGAGACAAUAAAUGCUAUAGGAAUUAUGGAGGAAUAAUUAGCUAUUUAUUUUCUUGGUUAGGGAAGAGAUAUUAUUAGUUGUAGAAGUAAUUACUAACUUCUACAUUUUUUAUUGUGGAAAUCAAAAAUAUAUAUAUGAAAAUAAAAUGUUAUAAUUGACUUCAGUGUCCCAUAAACCAGCUUCAACAAUUACCAAAUUAUGACCAAUCUUUACACACAUGCACAGGUGUCCCUCAGUAUCUGUGGGACAUUGGUUCUAGGACCACUUAUGGAUACCAACAUCUAUGGAUGCUCAAGUCCCUGAUAUAAAAUGAUGGACUAUUUGCAUAUAACCUGUGUACAUCCCGUAUUAUUUAAAUCAUCCCUAGAUCACUUAUAAUACGUAAUACAAUGUAAAUGCCAUGUAAAUAACUGUUAUACUGUAUUAAGGAAUAACAACAAGAAAAAUGUACAUGUUCAGUACAGGCGCAAAUUUUUUUGUGUGUGGAAUAUUUUCAUUCCAAGGUCAGUUGAACCCAUGGACAUAGGAGGCUGACUGCGUGUGUGUGUGUGUGUGUGUGUGUGUGUGUGUGUGCAUACAGACACACACACACAUAUUUCUGAAACGUAAAUAUUCUCUUUUUAAAAAAAUUAUUAUCACAGCUAAACAAAUUACCAGUAAUUCUUUUAUCCUCAUAUACCCGGUGUUCACAUUUUCUAGAUUGGC
rnacentral:lncRNA from 1 species